rnacentral:rRNA from 1 species
CACGCCGUAAACGAUGAGUACUAGGUGUAGGGGGUAUCGACCCCCCCUGUGCCGCAGUAAACACAAUAAGUACUCCGCCUGGGAAGUACGAUCGCAAGAUUAAAACUCAAAGGAAUUGACGGGGACCCGCACAAGCAGCGGAGCAUGUGGUUUAAUUCGAAGCAACGCGAAGAACCUUACCUAGACUUGACAUCUCCUGAAUUACCCGUAAUGGGGGAAGCUCUUCGGAGCAGGAAGACAGGUGG